UACGUAGGGUGCGAGCGUUAAUCGGAAUUACUGGGCGUAAAGCGUGCGUAGGCGGUUCGCUGUGUCCGAUGUGAAAGCCCCGGGCUUAACCUGGGAAUGGCAUUGGAAACUGGCGGGCUUGAGUGUGGCAGAGGGGGGUGGAAUUCCGCGUGUAGCAGUGAAAUGCGUAGAUAUGCGGAGGAACACCGAUGGCGAAGGCAAUCCCCUGGGCCUGCACUGACGCUCAUGCACGAAAGCGUGGGGAGCAAACAGG
rnacentral:rRNA from 1 species